UUAAGAGUAAAAUUUAGUAUAAUUUUUUUAUCCUAGUUAGAAUUGCUUAACUCAGGAUCAAUUUUAGAUCCAAAAUCGAUUAUGAAUCUUUUUUAACAUAAAAUCAAACAUAUAAUUUUUGUUCUAAAAUCAAUUAUGAACUUGAAAAUAAUUCUUUUUUUUUUUUUUGCUUUUAACUCAUAAUCAAUUCUAACAUGAAACAAAGCACACAUACUUUUUUCUUGAUAAUUAUCGGAAACCUUGAGCACACACAAAAUGAACAUUUCCCUUUUAAUACGAUUUAUAACCUAAGGACAAAUUAUAAUUCGAACCCUAAACCACUUUUAUUGUGCCAAACUCUUAUUGAUCCAAACACAUAAUUAAUACAACUGAAUGGAUAUAAUGACUACAUUUUAUCGCCCUCUUUCAUGUAGAUGGAGAAUAAUGGAGGCUUCAAAGUCUUGGUCUAUCCCAACGUGGACUACGCAUUCAUAGUGACACUACUUAUGAUUAUUGAUGACAUCAAAGAUUAUGAUGUGUUGGUAAAUGCGACGGUGAGUAGUGUCCUAACUGUGGCGACGGGGGGUAUCUUACCUAUUCUGACAUUGUUUGAGGGAGAAAAUUUAGAAGAAGAAACCUUAGAUGGAGAAAACUUAGAAGAAGAAUACUUACAAGAAGGAGAAAACAACUCAGGUGGAGAAAACUUAGAUGGAGAAAACAACCCAGAAGGAGAAAAUUUAGAAGAAGAAACCUUAGAUGGAGAAAACUUAGAAGAAGAAUACUUACAAGAAGGAGAAAACAACUCAGGUGCAGAAAACUUAGAUGGAGAAAACAAUCCAAAAGGAGAAAAUUUAGAUGGAGAAAACAACCCAGAAGGAGAAAAUUUAAAUGGAGAAAACUUAGAAGUAGAAAACAACUUCGAAGCUGAAACUUAGACGCAGCUUCGUAAGUGAGUGCUUGUGGUAUUGUUCUCUAAUUGGCAUUAAUGUUUAUGUAGUUUCAUGUCAAUAAUAAUCUGCAUAAUAAAGGUUUUCAUUAAAUGUAAAUGCAGAUUAGUCAGCUGGUUAAAUUCUUAUUAUGUCGUCGAAGUUUUAUUGUUGUAUAUGAAACAAAUUAAAAUUAAAUCUUGGGCAUGAUUUUGGUUAGAACAGGUUGUAUCUUUUCAUUUUAGUGCAUGAAUAAAAUUGAGAAGAUAUUGUAAAUAAAAAAAGAUGUAAUAUUUUUCGUAGUUUUUUUAUAAAAAAAAUUGAGUAAUGAUAUUGGAACACUAUUAUUUUGAAUAUUUAUCAACACUUGUCAUUUUUUUUAUCUUUUUCUUUCUACCACGUCAAAUCACUAAUGCGUAUAAUAUGAAUGGACAAAAACAAAUAUAUCUUACAUAAUAUAGUAUCGAAGAUUAAGAGUCCGGAUAUCGAAUGCACGUGACAAAUUGUGUUCUUAAAAUAAUAUAUUUUAUUUUGCAACUAAGUAAUUGAGGAAAGAAAUUAAAUUAAGAUGGAUUGAUGGUCAAUUAUCUAAUGCAAGAUCAAAUCUAAACGAGUAAGAUAGUAUCGAGUAAGAUAGUAUGAAAGAGAAGAUGAUUUCAGGCAUACCAAUUCCACCAAUACUAAUUCUAACAAGAUUCUUACGAUUGUUAAUUGUCGAUUUUCUAAAGUCAAUUAUUAGUCAUUGAUUGUAGUCUAAUAAUGGUCAAUUAUUAGUCAUUGAUUGUGGUCAAUUAUUAAUCAAUUUCCUAAUUAACCUACUAGAGGUUAUCCAACCAGUUUGGCAUGCAGUUUGAUAUAAAACACUUUUUUUCCUAAUUCUACCAAUUACAUGUAAAUGAUUACUGUUAAGCAAUCAAUUAUGUAUUAGUACAUCCGUUUCCACCAACCAAUUUGGUCAUGUAGUUUGGUAUAAAACACUUUCUUCCUAAUUCUACCAUUAAAUGCAAAUGAUUACUAUUAUGCAAUCAAUUAUGUAUUAGAACAUCCAUUUCCAAAAUAGAAAUUAAAAGUAAAGAAGAUAAUCAAUUAACUAAAUGACAUCGAGAAUUUCAUUAAAAUUAAGAAAGGAGUUCAAACUAGGUUACAUCAUAAUAAUCGAACUAGGAAGACUAGUCGCUCAUUGUACACACUAUUACAAAAAAAACUUUUUUAACGUGUCUUACUUGGCAUCUUGCUUGCAUGAGUAAGUACAAGUGUACAAUCUGUUUUAAAUUAUGUGUGUAUUGGUUUGUUCUAAUGGAUUGGUUUGUUCGAGAAAUAGAUCAAAACAACUAGAAAGAUCAUGCAUCAAAGACAGAAAAUGGUGGUGAGUCUAGGAGGAUUUCUAGGUCUUUUAUACAAUGAUGUCAAUGUGACAUGUGAGCAUUUUCAUGGGAGAAAGAUAGAGAGAAAAAGAGAGAGGUAGGGGUGACAUGGAUGAAGUUACCAUUACCAAACAAUUUAAUAUCAUUUUAUUCCUCAAAUUAGUCACUUUAGUUCUUGAAAAAAAAAGUGUUAUGGUUACUAUAAAUUAUAAAAAAACACCCCUAAAAUCUUCAUUUUUGACUCUUAUUAUGUAGAUAAUGAACAACAUCUUAUUUUACUAACAAAGUUUGUAGAUGGCUAACAGUAGGGAUUAACUUGGAUAACAUAAUUCAAUGUCAAAGAUUUAUUUUUCAUGUAUCUAAUUUUAGGAACUAAUAUUUUUUUAUUGGUAAGAAUUGAGCAUGGUAUUAAAGAAUUUACAAUACUCACACAUCUUACUCAACCAAUUAAGUUAGACCCCUUAAUAUUUUAGGAACUAUACCCCCACAAUUUUAGAGACUAAAAUGAUGAUUUGAUCCUUUUUAUUUUUUGUCGAAGAUGAAGAAAAAAGGAAGAAAAAAAGAUUCAGAUUUUUUUUUAAAUAUCUUUAUAUCUAUUCAUAACUUUUAAUCUUAAAUAAGAAUAUGAUGCGUUCUUUGUUAGUAAGAAGCAACAAAGGAAUAAGAAUAACAAAAAAGCACAUGAUAGGAAAUGAGAGCAAGCUCUCCAAGUCAGAGAAUAUCCUCUAGACUCCAAAUUUCAUUCAAAUCCCUCGUACCCCUUACAAUGACCGCCUUCCUUACAUAUAACUGAAUUCCCCUCUCCAUUGAUUUUCUCCUCUAACAAACUUAUUCCCCCUCUCACAAAAGUCUACUGCUAAAUAGACAAAUUUUCCCUCUUGGGCCUGAUGGCAUAUACUUUAUCAAAUCUACUCUUGGACUUAAGUAUUUUGAGUUGCAAAAUAAUUUUAUAGGAUUUAAGUAUUUUGAGUUGUAAAAUAAUUUUAUAUUUUAUGAAUACUGUGACUUAUUAAAUAAGUUAUGAGAUUAUAUUUUAUUAUGAAUGAGUUACUUAAAUUGCUUAAAGGUUUAUGACUUAUCUUUUUUUGUUUAUCCGAUAAUACAAUUUUUAAGUUUGAGGAUUUUAUUUUAUGGGAUUAUAUUUUAUUGUGAGUAUAUGUAUAAUAUUGAUUUUAAAAAAAUGUCCCUUACUAAUUUUUAAGUUUGAGGAUUUUUUUUUCAAAACUUAAAGAUGUGUUAAUUUUUUAAGGGUCCAAUUCUAUAACCAACCCAAUCCAAUCUUAUAUAUAAAAGUUAGAUUAGAUUAGAUUGAGUUGUAAAAAAAAAAGGUAAGCUCAAUCUAACCCAACCCAAUUAAAUUUAAUUAGAUUAGGUUGAAAAGGAAAUAAAACUUAACUCAAUCCAGCUCCUAAUCUAAAAUAUACAUACUAUGCCAACCUUCUUGGUAUUGGAUAGAAAUUUCACUAUUAAUUAAUAAUGUUGUAUUGUCUGCCAUAUUUUAGGUUCUAUAUUUGGUUUAAAGGUGGGAGGAAAAUAAUUUUAAUGAAAGAGGGAGAAGAAAAGAGAGGUGAUUACACAUUUUGUUUGGUUUAGAGAAAAAUAGAGAUUUUAAUAGAAUGAGAGAAAAUAAUCAUUUUCUUGUUUGGUUCAUAACUAGAGAAGGAAUUUUGAAAAUUAAUUUCCUUGCAUGUUUAUAUAAUUUUAUUUUCCAAAACAUAAGUAGAGAUAUUUUAGUUAAUACUCAUCAAAUAUGUUUUAAAUGUUUUUAUUUUUUUCUCCCAAAAAUUAAACCAUUAUAAAAUUUUAUAAAAAUAUAUCCCUACAUCCCUCUUCCACCAUUUUCUUUUAACCAAACACUAUAUAUGUUAGAGUGAAUUAAUUAGAAAGAGAAAAAAAAAACAAAAAGAAAGAAAGUAAUAAAUAUGAUAUAUAAUGUGACUAACAAGUUGAUCCGGUCAAGGUAAAAACAACUCAAAUUUAUUAAUAUAUUUUAAAAUAAUCUCAUUUUGGUAAUUAGUUUAUAAUUUCCCUUCUCAUCUUUCUCUCUUUUUUUUCCUACUUUGAAAGUAAUAAAUGUAAUACAAAUUAAAUAAACACAUUCUAUUUGGAUAAUUAAAAAAAGUACAUAUCUAAAAUAUACUAUGCCAACCUUCAUGGUAACCUAUAAAAAGUGUUUGGAUAAGAUUAUUUUUCCAAAAUCAAAUUCAGUUUCAGUCAAAACAAAAAAUAAUUAUUUCUACUUUUUCAUCAUAAUUUUGAGAACUUAAAUUGAUUCCAGUAGUUAUCCAAACACACCAAUAUAGGGUGGAUUCAAAAUGAAAGAAUAGAAGAAAAUAAAAGAUAGAAAAAGAAUAGUGUAAAUAUGAUAAAUGAUGUAACUAGUGAAUUGAUCCGGUCAAUGGUAAAAAGCAUCUAAAUCUCAUAAUAUAUCACAUUUUAGUCAUUAGUUUCUUAGAGUGUCCUGUUUUGGUGAACCAUUCCUUAGUAAAAUUACUCUUACCUUAAAGGACUUGCAUGUGUGUGUGUAUAUAUAUAUAUAUAUAUAUAUAUAUUAACUUUUGCAAAACUUUUGAGUGUAAGAGGAUUGUUCAUUCAUUUAUUACUCUAGGUGAAACCUUAUUUGAGUGUCGAAGUGCAUUUUGCACCCAUCCUUCAAAAGAAGAACCCGCUAAGCACACUAAAGCGAGAUACAUCAAAGUGAAAGAUAUAGCAAGGAGAAAGGCAUCUGGGCACUUCAAGCAUGAACAUCAGGUAUGAAAAAAUUUUCUCUCCUACCAAACAUCCUAUAGUUAAUGGAUAUUCUCUCCUCCCUAAUCCCCUUUCUACAUUAUCUUCUCAUUCAUUUCCUUCUUUUGCUAAUUUUCUUCCUACUAAAUGCUACCUUUUAAUUACUUUUCAAAUUUAUCCGAUGAAUUAAGAUAAACAUAUUUUUUAAAUUGAAUAACAAUUGUAAUAUUUGUGUGUGAAAACAAUUGUAAUUUUUUUAUUAUUCCAGUUAUGGGAGCCAAUUGUUAAACCACUAUUUAAUAUUCAUGAGGAUAAAAAUAUCAAACAAUUAAUGAUUUGUUUCAAGUGGCCUUAAACCGACAGUAUGCCAGAGGACUUGUUUUCUUGAGUAUAGGUUCAUGGACAUUUAAUUAUGGUGAUGAUGAUACACUCGAUUUUUCACUAUUUAAAACUGUAAGUUGAUCUAUCCACUUGAUGAUAACGAAACCUUUAAACUAUGUAUUCUUAAUUGAAAAUAAUAAAGUCUUCAUCAUUGCCAGCGGAUGCACAAGCUACACAUAAAAAUUAGGCUUAAUAUAUUUUAACUUUUUAAUUUCUAAUUUGAUGUAUUUUAUCUUUAACUUUUAAAAAAAAUUCUGAAUUUUACUUUAUAAAUUACUGGUCAGUAAAAUACAACGAAGGCCUUAGAUCCAUGUUGAAAGAAUGGCAAUCGGAGAGUGGAGGCAUAAUCUACUACUCCUACUUUGACACUUUUGCCUGCCAUCAACGACCUUAUUCAGACUCCAGCUUCUUAUGGUACCAUUUUAUACGUACAAUAACAUAUCCAAAUAUUAUUUUCUUUCUUAAUUCUUUUCAUUUCUUUAUUAAAAUUAAGAAACUUUCCUUUCUCUUUUAUUUUUUAUUCUAAUUCAAAUAACUUUAAAAUUUAUUAUCUUUCUUCUCUUUUAUUUCUUUCCUCUACCAAAAGAUGUUUAUUAGUUUUGUUUUGAGUAAAUGACCAUUUUAUUUUCUAAAUUUGUAUUUUGUUAUGGUUUUAGUACUUAAAAUCAAGAAAAAUUCAAAUAAGUUCACGAACAUUUUUAGUGUUUCACUUAAAUCUCUGAAAGUAACUUUUUUUCUUUUUCUUAUUUUGGUUCCUAAACUCAUGUUGUUAUUAUUACCUAAGUCCUCGUACUAGGGGUCAAAAUGAAAAAAGAAAAGAUGUUAGGUUAAGAGACUUAUUUGGUGAGAUACAAAUUUAGGAAAUGAAUUGGCUAUUUACUCUUUUGUUUUUAUAAAGUUGAUUUCUAAUUAAAAUAAGUUUAAAUCACUUUUCAGGAUUUAGUGAGCCAGAGCUCCCAGCCUGCCAUUGUCAAACCUUUGUCCUAACAGAGACAAGAUCACAUCUUCUUUGACCAAUUCCAUCCUACGGAGGCGUUGCUCGUUUGUUUGUUAUUUGUUAAUAAACUUUUUUAUGGCCCUUCAAGUUACACAUUGUAGAAAAUAAUAUUAUAAAAUGUAACAAUUUUAUUAUAUAUAACCCAUUGAUGGCCCUUCAUAUUUAUCCAAUAGCUUAUCUCUAACUUUGAACAUUAACAUUGCAAUCGCGCUUCUGUUUUUAUUUUUUUUAAUUUUGAAAUUUGUAAAAAAAUCUUUCAUUCUCUUUUCACUGCUAAUUUUCUUCCUACUAAAUGCUACCUUUUAAUUACUUUUCAAAUUUAUCCAACGAAUUAAGAUAAACAUAUUUUUUAAAUUGAAUAACUAUUGUAAUUUUUGUUGUUGUUGAAAACAAUUAUUGUUUUUUAUUACUCCAGUUAUGGGAGCCAAUUUUAAACCACUAUUUAAUAUUCAUGAGGAUAAAAGUAUCAAUCUACAAUUAAUGAUUUGUUUCAAGUGGCCUUAAUCCGACAGUAUUUGGAGGACUUGUUUUUUUUAGUAUAGGUUCAUGGACAUUUAAUUAUGGUGAUGAUGAUAGUACCAUGAUAUACUCGAUCGUUUACUAUUUAAAACAGUAAGUUGAUCUAGUCUCUACUUGAUGAUAACAAAACCUUUUAACAAUGUAUUCUUAAUUGAAAAUAAUAAAGUCCUCAUCAUUGCCAGCUGAUGCAUAAGCUAUCCAUAAAAAUUAGGUUUAAUUGUAUAAUUUUUUUAAUUUUUGAUGAAUUUUAUUUUUAACUUUUUAAUUUGACAUAUUUUACCUCUAAUUUUUAAGAAGCUUGUGAAAUUUAUCCUUCCCAUUUAUCUAUUAAAAAGCAUAAUAAUUGAUGGUAAAAUUUGUCAAAAAAAUAAAUAGUUCAAGAGUAAAAUUCGUAAAGAAUAAUAAGUCAGGGAUAAAAAGUACAAUUAUAUUAAUAGUUAAAUGAUGGGAGUAAAAUUCACAAGAUUCUUAAAAUUUGGGAUAAAGUAUAUCAAAUUAAAAAAAUUAAGGUAAAAUUCACCAAAAAUUUAAGAAAUUAAGGAUAAAAAAUACAAUUACGCCUAAAAAUUAUCAUUUUGUCUACCCCAAUGUUUUUUUUAUUUCAGCUUAAUUUAAGAAAUUAAGGAUAAAAAAUACAAUUACGCUUCAAAGAUAUUUACAAUCUUUCUAGUUAACGUUUUACAAAGAGUACUGUGUUUAAUUCAUGGUGGGAAUAAUGAAAAUUGAUUUUGAUUUGAUUUAAACACGAUUUUAUCAAAAUAUAAAUGCUUGGUUAUUGUUAGCUAAAGUUAUUUUGCUUUAUAAGAAGUGAUAAAAAGUAACUUUUAUGUUGAGUUAAAGAAGCAAUCUCGCUUUCAAGAUAAAAGCAUACAAACCCUUGUCGAUUUAAAAUAAAAUUUAAUAUUAUUUUCUUAUUUAUUUUGGUCAAAUAAUUUUUAAAAUUUAUUUAUCUGUUCCACAAUUAGCCUAUGAAACCGUUUUGUCUACGCAUAAUUAGACUUCUAAUAAACCCAAACAUAUUUUCAAAGACCAAAUCUGUAAAAGUAAGAAAAAAAUCAAUUAUUUCCUUAGAUAAAAAUUGAGAACAACUUGGCUAGUUUAAUCAAAUUUCAUUUCCCCACAUUUUGACAAAGUCAUAAGCUAGCUAGCUAAACGAACUACGACUUUUCUCACUGUGUACGUUUUCCAUGCCAAGUCUUCGGAAUCUUGGGCUCUGCAAGUUGAUGGUCAACUAGGCAGUUUUGCCAUUGGGUAAGUGGACCUAUUUAUAAAGGAUGGUCAAUUGAGCAAUUAAUUGAUUAACAUAUGUACCUAACAUAUGUCUAAGAUGCUUAUGUCUUUAACCAAGUACUAGUAGUUUAGAAUUUAAAUUUUAAUUAAUUAUUAGGUAUAAAAUAAAUUAUAUUAAAAAAAAACCUAUUUUACAUGUGUUCAAGAUUUCUAACGAAAAUUUAUUUUUAUUUUCAAUGAAAACAAUUUUAUAAUUAUAAAAAAUAAAACAUACGUGACCAAACACACAAUGUGUGUACAUAACAUAUGCUCUAUAAAUUAGCCUUUACUCCAAAAGACUAUCUCAUACCACAACACAUGUUUCCAAUGGCAAAUAAGUUCUCAGUUAUCAGCCCUUCCUAUUGUGUUCCUAACUCUCUUAACCUACAAAUUAACACAGAGAAAGGUGUUACUUACAACGUAAAGGGUAACCGUGUAUUUUACAUAAAAGAUACUUUGUUCACAUUUCACGGUCGUCGCGUGUUAUGUGAUGAUAAAGGAAGUCCCAUCGUCACUCUAUACAAGAAGGUUUGUUACUGAUCGAGGAGGCAUCUUAUACUCAUUUUUUUUUGAAUUUUUUUUCUAUUAAUUAAAUUAACUAAAUUGGUAUUAUAUAUUCUUAAUUUUUGUUUUUUAUCAGCAAAUAUUAAUUAUUAAUUUUAUUAGUUUUUUUUAGUAAAAAAAAAAUUGAAUCUAUAACCUCUCUUUUUCCUUCUUCCUUUAUCUAUCAAAUCAAUCUUAUAAUUAUUUGGUAUUCUUAAUUUUUGUUUAUAUGUAGAAUGUGACAUUGCACGGGCAAUGCAAAGUUUUCAGGGGUAAUAGCAAUGGUCCCUCUGAGUUGCUCUUUUCGGUGAAGAGAUCGUCAAUAAUCCCGAGUGGGAAGAUGAUUAGAUUAGAUGUCUUCCUUGAAAACAAGAGAAAAGGAAGCAUGUGUGAUUUUAGAGUCAUCGUUCGUGGAAGUAAAAAUUCAUGCACUAUUUAUGCCGGUGAAUCUCCAACUAUUGUUGCCAAGGUGUGUAUUGCAUGUGUUCUGGGCAUGUUUUUAUAUACACAUUAGUUUAAUUACCUAUCUAUUAUGGGUUUGGAUAAUUGCUGAUAUAAAGUGAUGUGUAAUUUAUAUUUAAAUAUUUUUAUGAUAAAAUUAAGUUAAGAGUAAAAUUUAGUAUAAUUUUUUAUUCUAGUUAGAAUUGCUUAACUCAGAAUCAAUUUUAGAUCCAAAAUCGAUUAUGAAUCUUUUUUAACAUAAAAUCAAACAUAUAAUUUUUGUUCUAAAAUCAAUUAUGAACUUGAAAAUAAUUUUUUUUUUUUGCUUUUAACUCAUAAUCAAUUCUAACCUGAAACAAAGCACACAUACUUUUUUCUUGAUAAUUAUCGGAAACCUUGAGCACACACAAAAUGAACAUUUCCCCUUUUAAUACGAUUUAUAACCUAAGGACAAAUUAUAAUUCGAACCCUAAACCACUUUUAUUGUGCCAAACUCUUAUUGAUCCAAACAAAUAAUUAAUACAACUGAAUGGAUAUAAUGACUACAUUUUAUCGCCCUCUUUCAUGUAGAUGGAGAAUAAUGGAGGCUUCAAAGUCUUGGUCUAUCCCAACGUGGACUACGCAUUCAUAGUGACACUACUUAUGAUUAUUGAUGACAUCAAAGAUUAUGAUGUGUUGGUAAAUGCGACGGUGAGUGGUGUCCUAACUGUGGCGACGGGGGGUAUCUUACCUAUUCUGACAUUGUUUGAGGGAGAAAAUUUAGAAGAAGAAACCUUAGAUGGAGAAAACUUAGAAGACGAAUACUUACAAGAAGGAGAAAACAACUCAGGUGGAGAAAACUUAGAUGGAGAAAACAACCCAGAAGGAGAAAAUUUAGAUGGAGAAAACUUAGAAGUAGAAAACAACUUCGAAGCUGAAACUUAGACGCAGCUUCGUAAGUGAGUGCUUGUGGUAUUGUUCUCUAAUUGGCAUUAAUGUUUAUGUAGUUUCAUGUCAAUAAUAAUCUGCAUAAUAAAGGUUUUCAUUAAAUGUCAAUGCAGAUUAGCCAGCUGGUUAAAUUCUUAUUAUGUCGUCGAAGUUUUAUUGUUGUAUAUGAAACAAAUUAAAAUUAAAUCUUGGGCACGAUUUUGGUUAGAACAGGUUGUAUCUUUUCAUUUUAGUGCAUGAAUAAAAUUGAGAAGAUAUUGUAAAUAAAAAAAGAUGUAAUAUUUUUCGUAGUUUUUUUAUAAAAAAAAUUGAGUAAUGAUAUUGGAACACUAUUAUUUUGAAUAUUUA
rnacentral:lncRNA from 1 species